rnacentral:rRNA from 1 species
CCCUUAGAGUUUGAUCCUGGCUCAGAACGAACGUUGGCGGCGUGGAUUAGGCAUGCAAGUCGAACGAAUCCCUGGGGGCUUGCUCCCAGGGGGAAGUGGCGAAAGGGGCAGUAAGGCGUGGGUAACCUACCCUGGGGACCGGGAUAGCCCUCCUAACGGAGGGGUAAUACCGGGCAAUGUGAUCUGCAGGCCUCUGUGGAUCACCAGAGGAUCCGUCGCCCUGGGAGGGGCUCACGUGGUAUUAGCUGGUUGGUGAGGUAAUGGCUCACCAAGGCGAAGAUGCCUAGCAGGUGUGAGAGCACGACCUGCGCCACUGGCACUGAGACACUGGCCAGACUCCUACGGGAGGCUGCAGUCGAGGAUCUUCGGCAAUGGGCGCAAGCCUGACCGAGCGACGCCGCGUGUGCGAUGAAGGCCUUCGGGUUGUAAAGCACUGUCGAGGGGAAGAAAAGCCGCAAGGCCUGAUCGACCCCUGGAGGAAGCACGGGCUAAGUUCGUGCCAGCAGCCGCGGUAAGACGAACCGUGCGAACGUUGUUCGGAAUCACUGGGCUUAAAGGGCGCGUAGGCGGAUCAUCAAGUCAGGGGUGAAAUCUUUCGGCUCAACCGGAAACGUGCCUCUGAUACUGGUGAUCUCGAGGGAGGUAGGGGCCUGUGGAACUUCCGGUGGAGCGGUGAAAUGCGUAGAUAUCGGAAGGAACGCCGGUGGCGGAAGCGGCAGGCUGGCCCUCUUCUGACGCUGAGGCGCGAAAGCCAGGGGAGCGAACGGGAUUAGAUACCCCGGUAGUCCUGGCCCUAACGAUGGGUACCAGGUUGUG